GGGGAGCAAGCGUUGUUCGGAAUUACUGGGCGUAAAGGGCGCGUAGGCGGCCCGCUAAGUCGAACGUGAAAUCCCCGAGCUCAACUCGGGAACUGCGUCCGAUACUGGCGGGCUUGAAUCCGGGAGAGGGAUGCGGAAUUCCAGGUGUAGCGGUGAAAUGCGUAGAUAUCUGGAGGAACACCGGUGGCGAAGGCGGCAUCCUGGACCGGCAUUGACGCUGAGGCGCGAAAGCUAGGGGAGCAAACGGG
rnacentral:rRNA from 1 species